rnacentral:rRNA from 1 species
CCGGUGGAGCAGGCCUCCCAGGACCCGAAAGGUGGUGAUCUAGGCCUGGGCAGGGCGAAGCCUGGCUAACGCUUGGUGGAGGCCCGAAGGAGUGCUGACGUGCAAAUCGCUUCUCUGACCUGGGCCUAGUGGCGAAAGACCAAUCGAACCACCUAGUAGCUGGUUCCCUCCGAAGUUUCUCACAGGAUAGCUGAGACUCGAUCGGGUGUGUCAAGUAAAGCGACUGAUUACGAGUGACGGGCGUGGAUAGAUGUUCGACUCGUUCUCAAACUCUGAAUUGGCACGGCGCCUCCUUGCUUGGAUGAAGGGGUAAGCGCGACCG